AGUGAACGCUGGCGGUAGGCCUAACACAUGCAAGUCGAACGGCAGCACAGUAAGAGCUUGCUCUUACGGGUGGCGAGUGGCGGACGGGUGAGGAAUACAUCGGAAUCUACUUUUUCGUGGGGGAUAACGUAGGGAAACUUACGCUAAUACCGCAUACGACCUACGGGUGAAAGCAGGGGAUCUUCGGACCUUGCGCGAUUGAAUGAGCCGAUGUCGGAUUAGCUAGUUGGCGGGGUAAAGGCCCACCAAGGCGACGAUCCGUAGCUGGUCUGAGAGGAUGAUCAGCCACACUGGAACUGAGACACGGUCCAGACUCCUACGGGAGGCAGCAGUGGGGAAUAUUGGACAAUGGGCGCAAGCCUGAUCCAGCCAUACCGCGUGGGUGAAGAAGGCCUUCGGGUUGUAAAGCCCUUUUGUUGGGAAAGAAAAGCAGCAGGUUAAUACCCCGCUGUCCUGACGGUACCCAAAGAAUAAGCACCGGUUAACUUCGUG
rnacentral:rRNA from 1 species